rnacentral:rRNA from 1 species
UACAGAGGGGGGAAGCGUUGUUCGGAAUUACUGGGCGUAAAGGGCGCGUAGGCGGCUUGUUAAGUCGGACGUGAAAUCCCCGGGCUCAACCCGGGAACUGCGUCCGAUACUGGCAGGCUUGAAUCCGGGAGAGGGAUGUGGAAUUCCAGGUGUAGCGGUGAAAUGCGUAGAUAUCUGGAGGAACACCGGUGGCGAAGGCGGCAUCCUGGACCGGCAUUGACGCUGAGGCGCGAAAGCCAGGGGAGCAAACGGG